CUGGUUUGUUGGAAGUCCUCCGGUUUUUUGUCAUGUAUGUGUUUAAUAUAAGGAGGCAGUAGAAAAGCUAAGUGACCCAGUUAAAACUUACUUCACAGACAUAACACAGCUUGAAGCUCUUUCUGAAACUGAAUCACUUGCUCACAGUCAUUGAGCAAUAAUUCAACAAUGCAUGAAUACAAGCAAUCAGUUUAACAAAAAGGUUGUGCUCCCUGGAAUCAAAACAAAGACGGAUCAGGCGAAGCAUACUCUUGCAGAUAUCUAUAAGAAUCCGAGGUUGUAGUUGCAGAUUGUUCAAGAAAACUGCAUGAGGAAUUUGUUGCAUGACUCACUUGGAUUCAAAGGUGCAAAAUGAUCAGCUGAGAGAAUGAUAUAACAAACUGGCAUUCAUUUGCAAUCCCAAUCAUGUUAACAUGAUAAUGACUUCGAAUCAUCGAUCUAAAUAAGAUAAGAAACUAUCUCUUUCCAAGAUCUUCUCGGAAGGGAGAAAGUUCAACUGUAUCAGUGAAGAUGUUUCAGCAAUUCAACAGCAAAACUAAGACGUUUUUCUUUUCUUCUGCUAAAACAAAGAAUUCCUGAAAUUAUGUUGCUCUGAUCUUAGAGCAUUAACAUCAUGGAGUAUCUUCUCAGAUAAUGUCUAACAAAUGUAGUAGUAUUAAUACUCCACGACCAAAUUUGUUAAUGCUAUUAAAUUUUGGGGUGGGGGGGGGGGGGGGGGGGGGGGGGGAUUGCAAUUUAACCACAAGUUUGAUAUCAAUUUUUAAAUUUACUUUGAAGAUUACUAUUUUUCAUAAAUACCUAAAAUUUGUGAUUAGAAAUAUUAAAUUAAUUCUCCGAAAUCAUUUAUAAAUAUUUAAGAAUAAUUUAUAAAAGUUUAUAAAUCCAACCCCGCCCUCUGAAAUAUGAUAGUCAACAAGUAAUUGAAAAGUUUAUAAAGUUUAUUAAUCAUUAAACCUUAAACUCAAAUGUUAAAGUGUUUUUGAUUAAGUGUAUUCUUGAAAUAUAAUAUUCAACUUAGAUAUCUUAGAGUAUUUUAAGAAAUAUCUCUUAAAUUUAUUAUAUCUUAAACUAAAUAAUAGUGAAAUAAAGGGAGAAUUUCAAUUUACCACAAGUCUGAUAUCACUUUCAAAUUUACACCUUUAAAGAAUAACUUUUUUUUUUAUAAAUACCUUAAAUUUGUGAUAAAAAUAAAUUUGUUCACCUAAAUCAUUUAUAAAUGUUUAAGAAUAAUUUAUAUAAAAUUUAUAGAAGUUUAUAUGUCCAAUUCCAUCCCAUAAAUACUAAACUCUAAACAAUAAUCACUAACCCUAAACCUAAAUGUUAAGGUAUUUUUGAUUGUGUGUAUUUUUGAAAAGGGAUAACCAACUUAGGGUAUUUUAAACAAUUUUUCAUGUACUAUUUUAUUAAGAUUUUCAUUCUGUAAUAACUUUUAUCCUUAUAUAUUUUCAUAUUAUCUCAAAUUUGAAAAUUAAAUAUGUAUGUAAUAUUUAAAUUUUAAACUAGGUGUUUGGUCUGAGGGCAUGUGGGCAUUUAUUUUGCAAUUACCUUUAAUAUAUGUAUUACUAAUUUAAAAAUUAUCAUGAUAAAUUAUUUUUUAUGUUCCUAAAAUGCUUAGAACGGACAUUAAAUUAUUUAUAUAUGACAAAAAAAUUCAUCAAAAUAUGAUCAGUAUUCUAUUAGAAUUUUGUUUAGACACUCUCAAUAGUAUAAUAUUUUGAAAAUAUCUUUAACACACUACAUUUAUUAAUAAUAAUAAAUAAAUAAAUAAAUCACUUAAUAUUCUCUUCUCAGUUAUAUAAAAUUCAGUUAACUUAAUUAAUACUUAAUUAUGCAUCUUUAUGUUUCUUAAUUUCUGAUUUUUUAUGAUUGAAAUCUAUUCUUUUCGGAUAACGACGCAAUAUAUAUAGAAAAUAUCUUUAAAUUUUUAAAAUCUUUUUUUAAUGUUUUUGACCAAUUUUAUUAUAUUAAUUUUUAAUUGAUACUCUAAUCUAAUAAAUACAUCUAAUACUUCAUUAAGGAUAAUAACAAAAAGUUUAAACCGAAUAUAAAAUUAUUUGUAUAUAACAAAAUACUUCAUAAGAACAUAUAUAUAUACUCAUUAAUAAUUUAUUGCGUUAAAGUUCUUGGAGAUUAACACGUAUUAUAAAUAUCUCCAAAACAUUCACUAAUAAUAAAUAAAUCUUUGAAAUCACUCAAUUUUCUAUUUUCAAUUUUACUUUAUUAAUAUCUUGUUAGGGAAAUUACUUAGAAUAAUACAUAUUUUAUGAGUAAUGACUAGAAUAACAUACCAAAACAAAGAAAGAAGAAAAAAGUGAGUUAAAGUCCAAAAUACCCAAUCAAUAAAUAGAUUUAAAUAUAAUAUAACUUUUUAAUACAGAAAAUGAAAGACUCUAGAUAAAGUAAAAGCUUUGGUUGAACAAAAAAGGUAAAAAAAAAAAACAUUUUCUCCCCCACGACACUUUCUCUUUCCCGUGACCCUCCCCAAGAACCCUAAAUCCCCAAAUUGUGUAAUCCUCAAACUUUCGAUUCUCUUUCUUAUUAAGAUGAGUCCUCAUCGAUUGGGUCAUGUCGACACUAUACUCUACCAAUAAAAGCCUUUGAUUCCUCAUCCACUCGGCCGACGAACCCUAAAUCCCCUUUUUAAAAUUCAAAGUUUCGUCGAAGGUCGUGGAUAUUUACGUUUUCUCAGUUAUUUCUUCAGAUACAACCUCAUCUCCUCUUGAAGCUAUUCAGUUGACCAAGAAAUCGUGGCAUCAAGAGAUAUGACUACAUCAAGCACCCACAAAAAAUAUCCAGCAAGACUUUAUGAAGAGGGAAAAUGUCCACUGCAAUAUAGAUCAAUGAAUCAUAACUGUAAGGCAAAUUGCUGUGGUUUUGAAGGACUUUCUGACCAGUGCAUUCCGGCAAUGUGUAUUAAGUUAGCUGCUGAGAUCUAUGAUGAGGUCUUGGGUCUGUAGUAUUUCACGUUUUAGAAACAAACUUAUUGACUGCUAUGUAGUAUUUCAUGUUUUGGAAUCAUUAUCUACUUGCUGCCUUGAAGUUGUGUACUAUCAUUGUGAAUUUUUAGUAGAAAUCGUUGGAAUCAAGCGGACUUAUAUCUACAGACAUCAUUGCCCAUCUUGUCUUUGUUUAUUAUGAGUACAACAGGACAGAUGACACACUGUAUAACCAGUAAAUAAAUUGUGCAACCAGAAACAAGCAUGUCAAAUUGUCACCAGAAACAAGAAAAAAGUCCAAAUCAAAAUAAAAAACAAAAGAUUCAAACUGUCUAACCAGAAACAAGAAACAAGUACAAAUCGAAACAAGAAACAAAAAAAAACAUAAGAGUCAAACUAUCUAAAGAACAGGACAUGUUUUGCAAUUGUGACCAACCUGAUUACAAAUAAAACAUUUAUGCUCUUUCCUUGGGUGUUUUUUAUUUUCACCUUUCUCAAGGCAAGAUUUCAUUCUUGAUUUUUUACGUCUCCCUGGUGGUUGGCCAACCACCGGAGGUAAACAAAUGAUUCCUGCGAUAUUUUCAGGAACUGAUGUAUAUCAACAUCUCUCGGCAGUACUGCAGGGGAGUAAGCAUUGUGUAUAUAGUUUGCAUGGUAGUAUGGAUGACAUAGAGAAAUCGUUGAUAACUUUGUCGCCUCUGCUGCUGCUAUUGCAUGCGUGCAUCGUAAAUUUUCUAUGUCAAAUCUGCGGCAUGAACAUCUCCGCUCAGACAAAUUCACUAUGUGUGUAGUUGAGACACCAAUAACUGUUCCGGUUAGUGGUCGAAUUUUUUGGUUUAAUUAGUAACCCAGAAUUGAUCUAAAUCUAAUUAGUAAACUGAUUUUCGCGAAUAAGUCUGCUACAACAUAUAACUCCUUCAAAGUCUGCCAUAACGUAUGUUAAAGUCUGCUAUCACAUAAAAGUUAGUUUUGUUAGUUUAUUAGUCUGCAGCUUAGCAUACAUAAAAUAUAAGUCUGUGAUCUCAUGAACACAAAAAUCUGCCAAAUUAUAAAAAGUAUGUGAGAAAAAUAUGUGUGUGAUUAUGAAAGUCUUCGAAAUAUUAUAAAGCUGCCAUCAAAAGACAAAAAUCUGCUAUAAAAACCUGCCAAUUAAAAACAAAUUUGCUAUUGAGAUUAAAUCUACCAUAAUGUGUGGUAGACUUUUUCAAAAAGUCUUUAACGAUAUAAAAUCUACCACAAUAAGUUUGUUGAAAAAUAUUAAUCUGUCAAGUACUAAUAAAACUGCCAUUAAAUGUCGCAGAUUUUUAACAGUAGACUUAUUUAUAUAUUCUGAAAAUAUUUAUUUUCUGUAAAUUAUUUUUUGUAAAAUUUUUUUUGUAAAUUUUUUUUUUGUUAACAAAGAAAAUAAGGACAUUAUGGGCAUAAAAAAAUAGUCUAAAAUUAAAAAAAAAGUAUGUUAUUCUAUUCAUUACUCAUAAAAUGUGUGUUAUUUUAGUAAUCUUCCCUUUUUUGUUAUGCAUAUUUCUGUUUCAUUUUGAUCCGAGAACUACUGCCACUAGGUUUACUAUAAAUCAACGUGCAUGACAGAGAAGAAAGUGAAUUGUGAGGAUUGUUUCGUUCUGAAGCUAUGUACUGACCCUGGAACAUUAAAGGCGAGGAGUAAAGGACCAGCAGAGAUCGUAUGAAACACUAUUUUUGGUUAGUUCAGCCAAAGAACAGGGCUUUUAGCUCAAAUAGAGGAUUCUCAGUUGACUCGGAUCCAAUUUAAGAGUGAUGAUGUUGAUUGCUGGGUGACCAAGACCAAUGAUUACAAACAAGUCGAAGGAAUUAUAAUGUAUUUAGACUGCUUUGUCCCACCGGCUUAGGUGUAGUUCUUUAACCGAGCAUUGUCAAGAGAAGGAGAAUUGCUGCUUGCGAUGGAAAGUUCAUUGUUAGUUUAUGAAACAGUGUUCUAAACUGAAUUAAACCGGCCCCACUUGUUUUGAAUUUGAAUCAUAUUUGGUUUAAGUGUUGUUGACACAUGAAAUCAAUAUUAUAGAAAAUAGUCAUAUAUUCUUACCGUGUGUGUUUUGUUAAUCUUAGAGUGUAAUUGGUAAACAAAAUAGAGUAAAUGUGAUGGUGGAAGUUAGCCUUUCUAGUGGAGGUAGUGAUGGUUGUCGCUGGUUUUUGGAGAGCUUGUUCUUAUGCGCUCUCUUUAUCUUAGUCUGCUACUAUUGGUGAUAUUGGUGUGAACCAUCAAUCUUCAUCAUUUAUUUGAUUUAUAUUUGCAUUCAAAAUGUUUUGAUGGUAGCUUAUCUGAAGCGAUUUCAUUCGAAACAAAAUUGAUAAAAGCAAUUGAAGAUGAAGACCUAUCUAGACGAUGAGAUUGUCAUGUUUUUGAUAAGGUAUUAGAAGUCCGUCUGCUACUGCUGGAACGGGAACACCUAAUCUACCUUAUUCUAUAAUAAGACUAGUUUGAUAUGGCUAAUGUGUCAUCAAUGAUGAUUAUCCUCACGAGCUUCUGUUGCAGAAGAAUCAUUAGUUUCUCAUUAUCGUUUUGUCGUAUUCUUCUAUGAUGUAAUAUGUUUCAAAUCACUUCAAUAAAACAAAGUUAAAAAAAAAAAAAGAGUAAAUGUGAGAAUAAUACAAAUAAAGUACACUGGAGUAAAUAUUUUUUUAAUCAAGUGAUUUGUUUUUUUUUUCUCUGCGGAAAACUUACUUCCAUAUAAAAAUGUUCAAAAAUGUUAAGGUGAGAAAUGUUAAGGUGAGUCCAACUAAUUUUUUUUUUUACUUUUUGCUUCCACCUAUUUAAGCUAACUUUUUACCAAUCAGAGAAUUAGUGGAGAGUGAGUCGUGUCAGAUACCACUCGAGAAAGGGAUAGUUAGGAAAAAAGAUGAGGAAAAGGGGUCUAUCUCUCUACUCUCGUAGCAGAAAGUACAAAAUAGUGUGCAUUGUGCAUUUUGCGCAAAUUUUUUUUUUUUGUGCAUUUUGCGCAAUUGUCUUCUAUAACUUUCCUUUACAGUUGCAUAUAUUGAUUGCUUCUUUGUAUAAUCACAUCUUCAUGUAUGACAUAACGACAUCUUUAUGGAGGCAACGGAGCUUAAACGUUUCCGGAUUGAGAUUUGAGACAGUAAAGAUAUCUAAAGUUGUUGAGCUUUAACCUCAAAGCUUAACCAAAAUGUCGGAUCAAGAUUUGGAAAAAGUCUUUGAUAACCAACAAGACAUUAAAAAGAGAGAUCACAGUGAAGGAAACUAAAAAGACUCAUAAUUGCACACAAAAACCGUUACAAGAACAAACAUG